CACUGUGGAAGCUUUGUUCUUUUUUGCUCUUUGCAAUAAAUCUUGCUGCUGCUCACUCUUUGGGUCCACACUGCUUUUACGAGCUGUAACACUUACCGCGAAGGUUUGCAGCUUCACUCCUUAAGCCAGCGAGACCAGGAGCCCACUGGGAGGAAGAACAACUCCAGACGCGCCUCCUUAAGAGCUGUAACACUCACCAUGAAGGUCUGCAGCUUCACUCCUGAGCCAGGGAGACCACGAACCCACCGGAAGGAAGAAACUCCGAACACAUCCGAACAUCAGAAGGAACAAACUCCAGAGGCGCCACCUUAAGAGCUGUAACACUCACCGCAAGUGUCACCGGCUUCAUUCUUGAUGAGAAGGCUUCCACUGCACUACUGGAAGAAACCAUUGCUUUGGGAAUUUUCUAUCCUGCAGCCCUCAGCAACCCUCUGCUGGAAUGCUGCCACUAUGACUGCUAGAGACACUUCAUGGAAGCCCACAGGACAUGUCACCUUUUCUCAUGGGCUCAUUUCAUGGGCCAGGCACGAGCUUCUGUUCAUUCCACCUAUGGGUUUGAAGGUCAACUCUGCAGCACCUGUUUAAUCUCUAGAAAAGAUGCUGAUAAAACUUGGAAAUGUUGUAGCUCAGGUAUCUUCAUUAUAAUUGAAGCCACCUUUGCAAAAAGUAUGACAGUGAGAGAAACGUGACAUAGAAAAAUUAUGAUAGGGAAAGAAAUAUCACCUAACUGAUUCCAUCUUGCUUCUGACCUCCAAGCUGCCUUUGUUCAUUCCUGGGCAUAGGCCAACCUAACCAUGGAGAAAUUUAAUUUAUAGUUUGACUUUCAAUCAAGGAUGAUAAGAGUCCCUUUCUAAAACUGACCUCCUCCUUGUCCCAGUACUGACACCACCUUUGUAAGACCCAUGAAAGGCCACGGAGAUUGGGAUUAUAGGAGGGGUCUGAAUUCUGCUAAGAUGUAGGCAUAGUUAAAUAAUAACCCACCAUUGUUCCAUAGCUUGCUUGCUUAUAAUCCCUAAUCACUCAGGAUUCUUGAAGCCAGAGGUCACAAGAUUUAUGACUUCUCCAAUUGCUCAUAUAGAUAACAUCACUAUUGUAGAACCUAAGGGGGGCCUUUUGAGAUGUUUUCCAGACUUUUGCAUUCUUACAACUAACUCCAUUUGGACCCAUGACUCAUGACUCAACCAGUCGUGUGGUCCCCACCUAAGGGCUGACUCAGCUCAUGAGGACUGUUUUCCACACCCCUAUGAUUUUAUCUCCAACCAAUAAGCAGCAACCACUGCUUAGCCCCUCCCAGGCAAAUUAUCCAUGAAAACCCUAGCUUCCAAGCUUUCAGGGAGACUGAUCUGAGUAAUAAACUCCUAUCUCC
rnacentral:lncRNA from 1 species